rnacentral:lncRNA from 1 species
CGGGAGAGGGCAGCUCCCUUGGGGUCUUGCGCUCCCUGUCCCGAGCUAUCCUGGGGCAGCCAGACAGGAAUUCACCACCUGAAGGAGCACAAAGUGCCAAGUGGCUAAACCUCCAGGACCUGAGCGUUGGGGGGAACCCAGGGUGGGGACGCGGGCUCUUCACUGGGAAUGGGGAUCAGCACCCUGUGGAGCUGAGCACACCUGUGUAGGCCCCAGCCUGCUCCCCACAGACUCUGUUUCCUGGCAUCCUUGACAGAUUCCCAGGCAAUUCUGACGGGAAGCCCGGGCUGGGGGGUCCCGCCCGGCCCCGGGGGCUCUGAUGGGGUGCUCCUCUGCAGGGGGCUUGGGGUCCUGGCGACUGUGGACGUGCGGAGGUGGGCACCUGCCCUAACCCGGGUGGCUGUAGAGGAGGAGACUUGAGAGCCGGCCGAGCACACACUCAGUUUUUGUCCUUUGUCCCUGCGCCCAGCGCUCCUUUCUGCAGCCCAGCUCAGUCCUGACCCUGCGAUGUGCCUGUUUGUGUGAUGGUCCCUGUCACUUGGUCAUGAGCUCCUGAGGCUGGGCAGCCGGGGCUGUGGCCCAGGAAACCGAGCAGGGGGGUAACCCGUGCCGGGGGCCCCCACCGCACCCCAGGUCCAGGGCCGUGGCCACCGUAGCAUCAAGGUCCCGCGGCGGGUCUGGUGCUGGAACCUGAGGUCAAGGCCGCAGCCCUGUUGCUGCAGAAGGGGAAGGAAGGCCUGGCCCGCCCAGGAAGUACGCAGGUCCCCGGGGUACUUAGGCCGCCCCAGGGUGGGGAGCAGGCUCGACCUCAGAGUCGGGCUGCGCGUGGCCUGGGUGACAUCCGGAGCCUCGCAGGACACCUGAGGGAUGAUGCUGCAUCUCCCAGGGCCGUGGCCGCUGCUGCUGCUGCUGCUGCUGGGAUCAUGGGGACCAGUGCCUCCAGCUGCUGCUCCGCCUCCAGGCGUCACUGCCGUUCGGUGGUUUAUCACCGAGCACGUCAGAGCGGGUCCGGUGAGAUGCAGCACUGAAAUGCCUCAGAUCAAUU